GUGGCAGAGCCUGUUGCUCCGAGGCCCGUGAUGAGCAGGACACUACCAGAUUAGACAGAACACAGAAGGAAGGAUGCCAUCACAGACACUCUGCUGUUCCCUACCCCAGGCACACAUAAGUUGGAGCAAGCCAGCCUGGUUCCCAGCAAGAGGCCCCAUCUACCUUUUUAGCUUUGCUGGAGAAGACAAGAAAGAGCAGGCGACAGAAGAGAAGGCACACCCUGAACGGUGGCCCACUGUGUGUGUCCCACAGUCCUCCGGUGGCUAGAGCUGAUGUCUGGGGCUUGGCUGCCAGCUACUGGUUACCCUUCUCACACUCCCUCAGGCUCCCCCAGGCUGGGCAGUGACUGGGACCCAACUGAUCACUCCGUUCCACGCCCCAGGCAGUGACUGGUGUGCAGAGGGCUGAUCCAAUCCUAGCCACAACGUUCACCACCCACUUUCAGCUCUUCUUUCUGAAGAUGAACCCAAAAAGACGGGAUUGUGGACUGGGACUCAGAGGAUGGUACCCACAGCUUCAAAGAUGCCCCCCUGAGUUUAAGACUGAACCAGCCCUGCAGAAGGAGACCUCAAAGAGAGGGCAAUGAGCUGAGUCCUCAGGUCCAUCACUUUCCUUGUUGCCCUAACAAAAUCCCUGACCAAGAGCUGCCCAAGGGAAGAGGGUUUACUUUGGUUCAAGAUUUAAGAGCACAGAGUCCAUUGUGGCUAGAAAGGCAUGGCUGAGUCCUGGCAGCAAAAGCAUCCAGUUAACACUCCACAUCUGGAAAGACCAGAAAGCAGAGAUGAUAGGAUGCUGGCACUAGAUUUCUUCCUUUUUCACUCUGCCAGGGACACCAGUUCAUGGGAGAUGACACCCACAUUCAGGACGAGUGUUCCUCUCUGGAAGGUCUACCUGAGGCUUGACCACCACAGACAUGCCGGAGAUGCCUCCUAGGAUAUUUCAAAUCCAUCCAGCUUGACAGACAGUCCUAAAGACCCCAUUUGAGUCCCGAAUCCAGCUGUUCUGAAGAUCGCCUUGAUGUUUUUCCAUCGUGGAUAUCGCAUGCAUUUCCUUUCUGAGAUGA